GGGUUGUGAGGUUAAGCGACUAAGCGUACACGGUGGAUGCCCUGGCAGUCAGAGGCGAUGAAGGACGUGCUAAUCUGCGAUAAGCGUCGGUAAGGUGAUAUGAACCGUUAUAACCGGCGAUUUCCGAAUGGGGAAACCCAGUGUGAUUCGUCACACUAUCAUUAACUGAAUCCAUAGGUUAAUGAGGCGAACCGGGGGAACUGAAACAUCUAAGUACCCCGAGGAAAAGAAAUCAACCGAGAUUCCCCCAGUAGCGGCGAGCGAACGGGGAGGAGCCCAGAGCCUGAAUCAGUGUGUGUGUUAGUGGAAGCGUCUGGAAAGGCGCGCGAUACAGGGUGACAGCCCCGUACACAAAAAUGCACAUGCUGUGAGCUCGAUGAGUAGGGCGGGACACGUGGUAUCCUGUCUGAAUAUGGGGGGACCAUCCUCCAAGGCUAAAUACUCCUGACUGACCGAUAGUGAACCAGUACCGUGAGGGAAAGGCGAAAAGAACCCCGGCGAGGGGAGUGAAAAAGAACCUGAAACCGUGUACGUACAAGCAGUGGGAGCCUCUUUAUGGGGUGACUGCGUACCUUUUGUAUAAUGGGUCAGCGACUUAUAUUCUGUAGCAAGGUUAACCGAAUAGGGGAGCCGAAGGGAAACCGAGUCUUAACUGGGCGUUAAGUUGCAGGGUAUAGACCCGAAACCCGGUGAUCUAGCCAUGGGCAGGUUGAAGGUUGGGUAACACUAACUGGAGGACCGAACCGACUAAUGUUGAAAAAUUAGCGGAUGACUUGUGGCUGGGGGUGAAAGGCCAAUCAAACCGGGAGAUAGCUGGUUCUCCCCGAAAGCUAUUUAGGUAGCGCCUCGUGAAUUCAUCUCCGGGGGUAGAGCACUGUUUCGGCAAGGGGGUCAUCCCGACUUACCAACCCGAUGCAAACUGCGAAUACCGGAGAAUGUUAUCACGGGAGACACACGGCGGGUGCUAACGUCCGUCGUGAAGAGGGAAACAACCCAGACCGCCAGCUAAGGUCCCAAAGUCAUGGUUAAGUGGGAAACGAUGUGGGAAGGCCCAGACAGCCAGGAUGUUGGCUUAGAAGCAGCCAUCAUUUAAAGAAAGCGUAAUAGCUCACUGGUCGAGUCGGCCUGCGCGGAAGAUGUAACGGGGCUAAACCAUGCACCGAAGCUGCGGCAGCGACGCUUAUGCGUUGUUGGGUAGGGGAGCGUUCUGUAAGCCUGCGAAGGUGUACUGUGAGGUAUGCUGGAGGUAUCAGAAGUGCGAAUGCUGACAUAAGUAACGAUAAAGCGGGUGAAAAGCCCGCUCGCCGGAAGACCAAGGGUUCCUGUCCAACGUUAAUCGGGGCAGGGUGAGUCGACCCCUAAGGCGAGGCCGAAAGGCGUAGUCGAUGGGAAACAGGUUAAUAUUCCUGUACUUGGUGUUACUGCGAAGGGGGGACGGAGAAGGCUAUGUUGGCCGGGCGACGGUUGUCCCGGUUUAAGCGUGUAGGCUGGUUUUCCAGGCAAAUCCGGAAAAUCAAGGCUGAGGCGUGAUGACGAGGCACUACGGUGCUGAAGCAACAAAUGCCCUGCUUCCAGGAAAAGCCUCUAAGCAUCAGGUAACAUCAAAUCGUACCCCAAACCGACACAGGUGGUCAGGUAGAGAAUACCAAGGCGCUUGAGAGAACUCGGGUGAAGGAACUAGGCAAAAUGGUGCCGUAACUUCGGGAGAAGGCACGCUGAUAUGUAGGUGAAGUCCCUUGCGGAUGGAGCUGAAAUCAGUCGAAGAUACCAGCUGGCUGCAACUGUUUAUUAAAAACACAGCACUGUGCAAACACGAAAGUGGACGUAUACGGUGUGACGCCUGCCCGGUGCCGGAAGGUUAAUUGAUGGGGUUAGCGGUAACGCGAAGCUCUUGAUCGAAGCCCCGGUAAACGGCGGCCGUAACUAUAACGGUCCUAAGGUAGCGAAAUUCCUUGUCGGGUAAGUUCCGACCUGCACGAAUGGCGUAAUGAUGGCCAGGCUGUCUCCACCCGAGACUCAGUGAAAUUGAACUCGCUGUGAAGAUGCAGUGUACCCGCGGCAAGACGGAAAGACCCCGUGAACCUUUACUAUAGCUUGACACUGAACAUUGAGCCUUGAUGUGUAGGAUAGGUGGGAGGCUUUGAAGUGUGGACGCCAGUCUGCAUGGAGCCGACCUUGAAAUACCACCCUUUAAUGUUUGAUGUUCUAACGUUGGCCCCUAAUCGGGGUUGCGGACAGUGUCUGGUGGGUAGUUUGACUGGGGCGGUCUCCUCCUAAAGAGUAACGGAGGAGCACGAAGGUUGGCUAAUCCUGGUCGGACAUCAGGAGGUUAGUGCAAUGGCAUAAGCCAGCUUGACUGCGAGCGUGACGGCGCGAGCAGGUGCGAAAGCAGGUCAUAGUGAUCCGGUGGUUCUGAAUGGAAGGGCCAUCGCUCAACGGAUAAAAGGUACUCCGGGGAUAACAGGCUGAUACCGCCCAAGAGUUCAUAUCGACGGCGGUGUUUGGCACCUCGAUGUCGGCUCAUCACAUCCUGGGGCUGAAGUAGGUCCCAAGGGUAUGGCUGUUCGCCAUUUAAAGUGGUACGCGAGCUGGGUUUAGAACGUCGUGAGACAGUUCGGUCCCUAUCUGCCGUGGGCGCUGGAGAACUGAGGGGGGCUGCUCCUAGUACGAGAGGACCGGAGUGGACGCAUCACUGGUGUUCGGGUUGUCAUGCCAAUGGCACUGCCCGGUAGCUAAAUGCGGAAGAGAUAAGUGCUGAAAGCAUCUAAGCACGAAACUUGCCCCGAGAUGAGUUCUCCCUGACUCCCUGAGAGUCCUGAAGGAACGUUGAAGACGACGACGUUGAUAGGCCGGGUGUGUAAGCGCAGCGAUGCGUUGAGCUAACCGGUACUAAUGAACCGUGAGGCUUAACCUUACAACGCCGAAGCUGUU
rnacentral:rRNA from 1 species